ACAGACGCAAAAUGAUACUCUGGAUUUGAAUUGGCAAUGGGUCCCGCAAAUGACAGUUGGUCCUUAGUAGAUAACGCGUGGACUUGAUACCGUAUACCCCCACGGUUGGUUUUUCUUUCGGAGGUUUCCGUUAAUUAACGCCAUUUCUCUCGUUUCAUCAUCCGUCAACGUUCUCUUCCAACCGAUGAGCGCUGAGCCGGCCGAGCCGAUUCACGACCAAAUAGACGUCGCAGGCCGUGGCCAACGCGUCUCUAGACCUUUGUUACAUACCACAGUAGCUAGUAGCACUAAUAUUAUUUCAAUUUUGUUUAAAGGGUUAAUCGUUUAAUUAGUUCCUGAAUUUAGACCCGAUUUGUAUUUAAAUUCCUCAAUUUUUAAAAUCGUUUCCAAAACUUCACUUUGGUUAGGACAAAUAGUCAUACCGUUAAUUUUGUUAACUUUUUC
rnacentral:lncRNA from 1 species